ACUAUAGUAUUGUAUUAUACAUCUAUAAUAUACUAUUAUACUAUAUCUUACCUUACUAUAGUA
rnacentral:tRNA from 1 species